GACGAACGCUGGCGGCGUGCCUAAUACAUGCAAGUCGAACGCAGUGGGGACGGGUGAGUAACACGUGGGUAACCUCCCAUCAGAGGGGAUAACCCUUGGCAACAGGUGCUAAACCGAUACUGAUGGAUGGACCCGCGGUGGAUUAGCUCGUUGGAGAGGUAACGGCGCACCAAGGCCACGAUGCAUAGCCGAGCUGAGAGGGUGACCGGCCACACUGGAACUGAGACACGGCCCAGACUCCUACGGGAGGCAGCAGUAGGGAAUAUUGGGCAAUGGGCGAAAGUCUGACCGAGCAACGCCGCGUGAGUGAAGAAGGUUUUCGGAUCGUAAAGCUCUGUUGUUAGAGAAGCGGUAUCUAACCAGAAAGCCACGGCUAACUACGUGCCAGCAGCCGCGGUAAUAC
rnacentral:rRNA from 1 species